UACGAAGGGGGCUAGCGUUGCUCGGAAUCACUGGGCGUAAAGCGCACGUAGGCGGCUUUUUAAGUCAGGGGUGAAAUCCUGGAGCUCAACUCCAGAACUGCCUUUGAUACUGGGAAGCUUGAGUCCGGGAGAGGUGAGUGGAACUCCGAGUGUAGAGGUGAAAUUCGUAGAUAUCAGGAAGAACACCCGUGGCGAAGGCGGUUCUCUGGGACGGUACUGACGCUGAGACGCGAAAGCGUGGGGAGCGAACAGG
rnacentral:rRNA from 1 species